rnacentral:rRNA from 1 species
CAGUCGCCGCGGUAAUACGUAGGGUGCAAGCGUUAAUCGGAAUUACUGGGCGUAAAGCGUGCGCAGGCGGUUAUAUAAGACAGAUGUGAAAUCCCCGGGCUCAACCUGGGAACUGCAUUUGUGACUGUAUAGCUAGAGUACGGCAGAGGGGGAUGGAAUUCCGCGUGUAGCAGUGAAAUGCGUAGAUAUGCGGAGGAACACCGAUGGCGAAGGCAAUCCCCUGGGCCUGUACUGACGCUCAUGCACGAAAGCGUGGGGAGCAAACAGGAUUAGAUACCCCCGUAGUCCCUGUCUCUUUACA